UUGANCGCUGGCGGCAGGCCUAACACAUGCAAGUCGAGCGGAUGAAGGGAGCUUGCUCCUGGAUUUAGCGGCGGACGGGUGAGUAAAGCCUAGGAAUCUGCCUGGUAGUGGGGGACAACGACUCGAAAGGGUCGCUAAUACCGCAUACGUCCUACGGGAGAAAGUGGGGGAUCUUCGGACCUCACGCUAUCAGAUGAGCCUAGGUCGGAUUAGCUAGUAGGUGAGGUAAUGGCUCACCUAGGCGACGAUCCGUAACUGGUCUGAGAGGAUGAUCAGUCACACUGGAACUGAGACACGGUCCAGACUCCUACGGGAGGCAGCAGUGGGGAAUAUUGGACAAUGGGCGAAAGCCUGAUCCAGCCAUGCCGCGUGUGUGAAGAAGGUCUUCG
rnacentral:rRNA from 1 species